rnacentral:rRNA from 1 species
UACGUAGGAUGCAAGCGUUGUCCGGAAUUAUUGGGCGUAAAGAGUUCGUAGGCGGUUGCCUAAGUCUGGUGUUAAAUACAGGAGCUCAACUCCUGCAUGGCAUUGGAAACUGGGUGGCUAGAGUGUGGGAGAGGUCACGGGAAUUCCAGGUGUAGCGGUGAAAUGCGUAGAUAUCUGGAGGAACACCAGUGGCGAAAGCGCGUGACUGGACCAUAACUGACGCUGAGGAACGAAAGCCAGGGGAGCGAAAGGG